AGAGUUUGAUCCUGGCUCAGAUUGAACGCUAGCGGCAUGCCUAACACAUGCAAGUCGAACGCUUUCAGAGGGUGGCAACACUUUCUGAGAGAGUGGCGGACGGGUGAGUAAUACGUAGGAAUCUCCCUCAUAGUGGGGGACAACCCGGGGAAACUCGGGCUAAUACCGCAUAAUCUCUACGGAGCAAAGGGGAGGAUCGA
rnacentral:rRNA from 1 species